GACGAACGCUGGCGGCGUGCCUAAUACAUGCAAGUCGAGCGAAGUUUUUCUGGUGCUUGCACUAGAAAAACUUAGCGGCGAACGGGUGAGUAACACGUAAAGAACCUGCCUCAUAGACAGGGACAACUAUUGGAAACGAUAGCUAAUACCGGAUAACAGUAUUUCUCGCAUGAGAGAGAUUUAAAAGUUGGUUAUGCUAACACUAUGAGAUGGCUUAGCGGUGCAUUAGCUAGUUGGUGGGGUAAAGGCCCACCAAGUCGACGAUGCAUAGCCGACCUGAGAGGGUGAUCGGCCACACUGGAACUGAGACACGGCCCAGACUCCUACGGGAGGCAGCAGUAGGGAAUCUUCCGCAAUGGGCGAAAGCCUGACGGAGCAACGCCGCGUGAGUGAAGAAGGAUUUCGGUUCGUAAAGCUCUGUUGUUAGGGAAGAAUGGAUAUGUAGUAACUAUACAUGUAAGAGACGGUACCUAACCAGAAAGCCACGGCUAACUACGUG
rnacentral:rRNA from 1 species